rnacentral:rRNA from 1 species
AAGGUAGCGAAAUUCCUUGUCGGGUAAGUUCCGACCUGCACGAAUGGCGUAACGAUGGCCACACUGUCUCCUCCCGAGACUCAGCGAAGUUGAAGUGGUUGUGAAGAUGCAAUCUACCCGCUGCUAGACGGAAAGACCCCGUGAACCUUUACUGUAGCUUUGCAUUGGAUUGCGAACCGACUUGUGUAGGAUAGGUGGGAGGCUUUGAAGUCAGGACGCCAGUCUUGAUGGAGCCAUCCUUGAAAUACCACCCUGGUUUGUUCGCGGUUCUAACCUAGGCCCGUCAUCCGGGCCGGAGACAGUGCAUGGUGGGCAGUUUGACUGGGGCGGUCUCCUCCUAAAGAGUAACGGAGGAGUUCGAAGGUACGCUUGGUACGGUCGGACAUCGUGCCUAAAGUGCAAUGGCAAAAGCGUGCUUAACUGCGAGACUGACAAGUCGAGCAGGUGCGAAAGCAGGACAUAGUGAUCCGGUGGUUCUGUAUGGAAGGGCCAUCGCUCAACGGAUAAAAGGUACUCCGGGGAUAACAGGCUGAUUCCGCCCAAGAGUUCAUAUCGACGGCGGAGUUUGGCACCUCGAUGUCGGCUCAUCACAUCCUGGGGCUGUAGUCGGUCCCAAGGGUAUGGCUGUUCGCCAUUUAAAGUGGUACGUGAGCUGGGUUUAAAACGUCGUGAGACAGUUUGGUCCCUAUCUGCAGUGGGCGUUGGAAGUUUGACAGGGGCUGCUCCUAGUACGAGAGGACCGGAGUGGACGAACCUCUGGUGUACCGGUUGUCACGCCAGUGGCAUCGCCGGGUAGCUAAGUUCGGGAAGGAUAAGCGCUGAAAGCAUCUAAGCGCGAAACCUGCCUGGAGAUGAGACUUCCCUUGCGGUAUAACCGCGCUGAAGAGUCGUUCUAGACCAGGACGUUGAUAGGUGGGGUGUGGAAGCGCGGUAACGCGUGAAGCUAACCCAUACUAAUUGCUCGUGAGGCUUGACUCU